CAGUCGAGCGGAACGAGUUAUCUGAACCUUCGGGGAACGAUAACGGCGUCGAGCGGCGGACGGGUGAGUAAUGCCUAGGAAAUUGCCCUGAUGUGGGGGAUAACCAUUGGAAACGAUGGCUAAUACCGCAUGAUGCCUACGGGCCAAAGAGGGGGACCUUCGGGCCUCUCGCGUCAGGAUAUGCCUAGGUGGGAUUAGCUAGUUGGUGAGGUAAGGGCUCACCAAGGCGACGAUCCCUAGCUGGUCUGAGAGGAUGAUCAGCCACACUGGAACUGAGACACGGUCCAGACUCCUACGGGAGGCAGCAGUGGGGAAUAUUGCACAAUGGGCGCAAGCCUGAUGCAGCCAUGCCGCGUGUGUGAAGAAGGCCUUCGGGUUGUAAAGCACUUUCAGUCGUGAGGAAGGUGGUGUAGUUAAUAGCUGCAUUAUUUGACGUUAGCGACAGAAGAAGCACCGGCUAACUCCGUGCCAGCAG
rnacentral:rRNA from 1 species